rnacentral:rRNA from 1 species
UACGUAGGGUGCGAGCGUUGUCCGGAAUUACUGGGCGUAAAGAGCUCGUAGGUGGUUUGUCGCGUUGUUCGUGAAAACUCACAACUCAAUUGUGGGCGUGCGGGCGAUACGGGCAGACUGGAGUACUGCAGGGGAGACUGGAAUUCCUGGUGUAGCGGUGGAAUGCGCAGAUAUCAGGAGGAACACCGGUGGCGAAGGCAGUUAACUAUUCGAGUGUCCUGACGUUGAGGCACGAAAGCGUGGGGAGCAAGACGG